AACGCGAAGAACCUUACCUACCCUUGACAUGUACGGAAGCCUCCAGAGAUGGGGGUGUGCCCGAAAGGGAGCCGUAACACAGGUGCUGCAUGGCUGUCGUCAGCUCGUGUCGUGAGAUGUUGGGUUAAGUCCCGCAACGAGCGCAACCCUUGUCCCUAGUUGCUACGCAAGGGCACUCUAGGGAGACUGCCGGUGACAAACCGGAGGAAGGUGGGGAUGACGUCAAGUCCUCAUGGCCCUUAUGGGUAGGGCUUCACACGUCAUACAAUGGCCGGUACAGAGGGUUGCCAAAGCGCGAGCUGGAGCCAAUCCCAGAAAGCCGGUCGUAGUCCGGAUUGCAGUCUGCAACUCGACUGCAUGAAGCCGGAAUCGCUAGUAAUCGCGGAUCAGCAUGUCGCGGUGAAUACGUUCCCGGGUCUUGUACACACCG
rnacentral:rRNA from 1 species